rnacentral:rRNA from 1 species
UGAUCAUCGACACUUCGAACGCACAUUGCGGCCCCGGGUUUCGCUCGGGGCCACGCCUGUCUGAGGGUCGGCCA